rnacentral:tRNA from 1 species
GCCCUCGCUGGCUCAGAUGGAUAGAGCGUCUGCCAUGUAAGCAGGAGAGCCCGGGUUCGAGUCCCGGUCAGGGCA